rnacentral:misc_RNA from 1 species
GAUGAAGAACGCAGCGAAAUGCGAUAAGUAAUGUGAAUUGCAGAAUUCAGUGAAUCAUCGAAUCUUUGAACGCACAUUGCGCCCCUUGGUAUUCCGUGGGGCAUGCCUGUUCGAGCGUCAUUAUAACCCCUCAAGCUCAGCUUGGUGUUGGGGCCUGCUGCACUGGCAGCCCUUAAAAUCAGUGGCGGCGCCAUCUGGCUCUAAGCGUAGUAAUUCUUCUCGCUAUGGAGUCCUGGUGGAUGCUUGCCAUCAACCCCCAAUUUUUCUAUGGUUGACCUCGGAUCAGGUAGGGAUACCCGCUGAACUUAAGCAUAUCAAUAAGCGGAGGA